GCAAAAUUUUAAGCACAAGUUCAGAUCAAAGAGUUAAAAGACAAUUUCCAAAAAACAAUUCCAAAACUGCAUUAGUCUAAAAAGACCUUUUUCCAAAACUCUGUUGUAAGCUUUUUGUCUCCCUGAAUAUGUUUUUCUUUCCAUUUCAAUUUUUACUUCAAGCAAGGACCAAUCUUUACUUGAGAGAAUAUCUCAGAAAACAUUUUCAUCCAGAAUGUGUUUUCUUCUUAGCUUCUAAGCACACUUACACACAAGAAGUGGGAUCUUUUUCUUUGUUAUAAUUGCUUCCUCUCGGAUCUGAUCCUUUGACCUGAAACAUUGUGUUUUUCAAAUCCACAUCAACAUUUUAUUUAGGUAAUCGUUCAAGAUUCACAGGCUGUACACAUCUCUGUCUUGGCAGAGUUAGCACUUAGCAUGCAUCCCCACGGUUCCAAAGAGGGAUAUAAGAGGGACGUUUGCUCUUUUUAAGAAUCCCUGCCGGGCUCAGUGAAUUUAAGUGUAAAAAGACAUGAAACUGAAGUCUACUGUGCUGGUAGAGACUCAGCAGGUUUUCUAAGGUGUUACUAACUCCCGUUUGAUUUCCUUCUCUCAGUAUGUUAUCUUCUUCAAGCUGAGCUAAUAACCAAGUUAAUACCAAAUUACCAUUUGGAAAAAUUAUUUCUCAUAUGCCUCAGAUAUCUGCAAACUUCACUUCCCCAGGGAGCAGCCUGGAUACUUCCAACUAGACCAGAGUCUCCUGUUAAAAGCUCUCUUGCUCGCCCUGAGGUUUUCCUUUGCAGCAGUCACUGUGGAGCGUGAACAUUAGAACUUCUGCUUCCUCCACUGGCUUGCAAGUCACAGCAAGGUGGAUGUGUGACAGUUUCUGCUCACUGUUGCUUCUCA
rnacentral:lncRNA from 1 species